CGCAUCUGUGCAUGCAGCAUAUCAAUAAGCGGAGGAAAAGAAACUAACAAGGAUUCCCCUAGUAACGGCGAGUGAAGCGGGAAGAGCUCAAAUUUGAAAUCUUAAAGGGUUUCCCUUUACGAAUUGUAGUUUAAAGAAGUGUUUUCUGUUGAGGUUUUGGUAAAAGUUCUUUGGAAUAGGACAUCAUAGAGGGUGAGAAUCCCGUAUUUGACCUUUACUUUCAACUUUGUGAUACACUUUCAAAGGGUAGGAUUGUUUGGGAAUGCAGUCCAAAAUGGGUGGUAAAUUUCAUCUAAAGCUAAAUAUUGGCGAGAGACCGAUAGCGAACAAGUACCGUGAGGGAAUGAUGAAAAGAACUUUGAAAAGAGAGUUAAACAGUACGUGAAAUUGUCAAAAGGGAAGCGUUUGACACCAGUGUUGUUUUUCUGAAAAUCAAUUAAAGAACUGUUUAUGCUAAGUUGUUUAGACUUUAUCAGCUAUCUGUUUAGUUUUGAGCUUUUCUUUAAUGCACUUUUCAGUUAACAAGUCAACAUCAAUUUCUUUUGCUGUAAAAAAGCUUGAGGAAGGUGGCUUGAGAUUCGUCUUAAGUGUUUAUAGCCUCUUGCCUAUGCAGUCGGAGAGAUUGAGGUCUGCAGCGUAGAUCCUUCGGGGCUAAAUGCAUUUGUGCUAAGUUAUAGCAUUUUAUAGACAACUUGUUGACUAUGAUUUGUCUUGUAGCUUACUCGCUUAUGUUAUUUUACCUACGCUUAGGAUGUUGACAGCAGUAUAGACUGU
rnacentral:rRNA from 1 species